GAUGAACGCUAGCGGCAGGCCUAACACAUGCAAGUCGAGCGAGAAGCCCUUUCGGGGGCCGAAACCGGGGCACGGGUGCGGAACGCGUACGCCACCGACCCCUCACCAGGGGAUAGGGCGAAGAUAUUUGGAUUAAUACCCAAUCCUAUUGUUGGAUGGCGCUAUUUGGCACUUUAAACUGAGGUGGUGAUAGAUGGGCAGGCGUCGUAUUAGCUAGUGGGAUAGGUAACGGCAGCGCAAGCCUACGAUAGGUAGGGGUGCUGAGAGGGGGAUCCCCCAGACGGGGACUGAGACAAGGACCAGACUGCUACGGGAGGCAGCAGUGAGGAAGAUUGGUCAAGGGUCUGAAGACUGAACCGGCCAUGCCGCGUGCAGGAAGAAUGCCUUAUGGAUUGUAAACUGCUUUUAUGUAGGAGGAAUAGGGCGUACGUGUACGUUGGUGACGGUACCAUAUGAAUAAGCAUCGGCUAACUCCGUG
rnacentral:rRNA from 1 species